rnacentral:rRNA from 1 species
UGCGUAGGCGGGUCUUUAAGUCAGGGGUGAAAUCCUGGAGCUCAACUCCAGAACUGCCUUUGAUACUGAAGACCUUGAGUUCGGGAGAGGUGAGUGGAACUGCGAGUGUAGAGGUGAAAUUCGUAGAUAUUCGCAAGAACACCAGUGGCGAAGGCGGCUCACUGGCCCGAUACUGACGCUGAGGCACGAAAGCGUGGGAGCAAACA